UCCCUGGAGGACUAGUGGUUAGGCAAUGGUGCUCUCACAGCCAUGGCCUGGGUUCAAUUCCUGGCCACGGAA
rnacentral:tRNA from 1 species